AAUUCUCAUCUUCACGCAAAAGGAAGGGAGAAUGUUUUAUUUUUUAACUAAAAAACGUACGUAGACUUCACAAAAAUAUAAUCAUAAAUAAUUUUGCUAUUUCAUUGUGUAAUAUAAUGUAGUAUUUAGGUAUUAUACAUGCUGUAUGGUAGCCAGUAGGCAUAGCCGCAUAGGCUCAUAGGCGCCUGAAGACAUUUUUCUAGAAGAGGCCAAUGUUAGGAUUUGUUACGUAGUAAAUAGUAAUUUAUCUUAAAACAUUCAAUUUAAAAAUAUUUUUGAAAAGUCAGACAAACGCCUCAGCUUGACCCCCCCCCUAUGGACGCCUAUGCCAGUAGGUACUAUACUAUUAUAGUGUUAUCAAUACUGUUACUUACGUUUUCUGUACUCUUCUUCCAUAUGUUUAAUACAACACGGUUUUUUAGGCUUAUUUCUCUUGCAGUCGGGCUUUGGAGUUGUACACGGGUUUGUCGUAUGGCACGUGUCAUCUGUACAUGCGUAUUUGAAUGUAACGGCCAUAUCAGAACAAAUUGCAUUUGGUGGUUGUGCUGUUAGCGUCGUGCACGCAAAACACGGUGGUGUGACGGGCAUAAGACUCGUAGAGGUGAUCGUGUCAAACUUGAAAUAAAAAAAUGUUAGUUCUUUUUUUUUUUUUACUUGUGAUGGAAUGCUGUACAGCUACAUAUGAACGAGCAUUAAUAACUUCGUCUAAAAAGGAGUCAAAUGAGAAAGGAUCGUUACGAUAUUAUAUAUACAACGUCGCAACGAACAGCUGAUAGUCGGAUUAUUGAUAAAUGUUUUACGCGACAUAUGGCGGUUGUAUAACAAGAAAACAAACCAGAGUAUCUGGCUAAUGACAAUAACAAGUAGGUAACAACAAUUUUAUUUAAUGUUAAUAUUGUCGUUAAAAUAAAAAUUAUCUUUAUUAUCUAUGA